rnacentral:lncRNA from 1 species
GGUGACCUGGCAAGCCUCAAUGGGGCUUCUCCCGGGCCCCCUCCUGGUCCAGAGGAUGCCUCCCUUUCUCCAAAGAGCAUCUUCUUUCUCUGGCGUGUCCGUGGGCCCCUCCAAGCCCACUGGUCCCCAUGGGUGUCAUUAGGACUUGACGGGCCCACCCUCUCCUGCAGCUGCCACUGCAGGCCGCUCCUACUGAGGGGACUCAGUGGGCUGCUCCUUGGCCCCCUAAGUCAACACAGCUUGGUGCUACUUGGGUGGGCAUGGGAGAGCAAUUUGUGAGCCCAGCAAGUGAGCAUCAGAGCGGGAGCCAGGACCAGGCAGUGAGGCCUCUGGCUUGACCCAAGUGGUGGGACCCCAGGCAGGGCCUAGAGAGGCGGAGGAGGCUCCA